UACGAAGGGGGGCUAGCGUUGUUCGGAUUUACUGGGCGUAAAAGCGCACGUAGGCGGAUUGUUAAGUUGGGGGGUGAAAUCCUGGAGCUCAACUCCAGAACUGCCCUUCAAUACUGGCAAUCUCGAGUCCGGAAGAGGUAAGUGGAACUCCUAGUGUAGAGGUGGAAUUCGUAGAUAUUAGGAAGAACACCAGUGGCGAAGGCGGCUUACUGGUCCGGUACUGACGCUAGGUGCGAAAGCGUGGGGAGCAAA
rnacentral:rRNA from 1 species